rnacentral:rRNA from 1 species
ACGCUGACAGAAUGCUUAACACAUGCAAGUCUACUUGAACUUCGGUUUGGGUGGCGGACGGGUGAGAACGCGUAAAGAACUUGCCUCACAGUUAGGGACAACAUUUGGAAACGAAUGCUAAUACCUGAUAUUAUGAUUUUAGGGCAUCCUAAGAUUAUGAAAGCUAUAUGCGCUGUGAGAGAGCUUUGCGUCCCAUUAGCUAGUUGGAGAGGUAACGGCUCACCAAGGCGAUGAUGGGUAGCCGGCCUGAGAGGGUGAACGGCCACAAGGGGACUGAGACACGGCCCUUACUCCUACGGGAGGCAGCAGUGGGGAAUAUUGGACAAUGGACCAAAAGUCUGAUCCAGCAAUUCUGUGUGCACGAUGACGUUUUUCGGAAUGUAAAGUGCUUUCAGUUGGGAAGAAAAAAAUGACGGUACCAACAGAAGAAGUGACGGCUAAAUACGUGCCAGCAGCCGCGGUAAUACGUAUGUCACAAGCGUUAUCCGGAUUUAUUGGGCGUAAAGCGCGUCUAGGUGGUUAUGUAAGUCUGAUGUGAAAAUGCAGGGCUCAACUCUGUAUUGCGUUGGAAACUGUAUGACUAGAGUACUGGAGAGGUAAGCGGAACUACAAGUGUAGAGGUGAAAUUCGUAGAUAUUUGUAGGAAUGCCGAUGGGGAAGCCAGCUUACUGGACAGAUACUGACGCUAAAGCGCGAAAGCGUGGGUAGCAAACAGGAUUAGAUACCCUGGUAGUCCACGCCGUAAACGAUGAUUACUAGGUGUUGGGGGUCGAACCUCAGCGCCCAAGCUAACGCGAUAAGUAAUCCGCCUGGGGAGUACGUACGCAAGUAUGAAACUCAAAGGAAUUGACGGGGACCCGCACAAGCGGUGGAGCAUGUGGUUUAAUUCGACGCAACGCGAGGAAC